AACAAACCGUGGGCAGGGUCCAGUCCCCUAGGUCAGAGCAAUAGACCAAGUCCACCUCCUGGAUUCAGGGGCCCCUCCCUGGAAUGCUGUUUGCUAUGUGAAGACUGGCUCAACAACCACUGGUGUGAUAAGGGGUAUAUAAGAUCUUCUGAGGGACAGUCAGGAUGCUGCUGUGACCUGACAAGGUGACAAGUGAGCCCCAAGGAUCCCUUAGGCAAGGUGGCUUGGUGGCAGAGCCUGCAGAGGACAGCCAGAGGGAGCAGGUGCCUUUGAGAAGCUGUAGUCACAGCCAAGCAAGCUGUAGCUCUUCUGCGGCUGUCCCUGGGGAGGGAAACCGGUUGCUAGCAGGCAGGCCUCCUGGCUAACCCUUUGUAUGGGCACACAGUAACCAAGCAAUUACAAAGGAUUGUCAAACUGUGCAGCAGAUGGAAGAGAAGCGCAGAGAGCCUUCUUUCCUCACAGGGCACCUUCAAGAGGAUGAAAUUGGAAGUGUGAGGGAAGGGUUCAGUUAAUCAAGGACCUGCAGGAACUGGGGUUAGGGCUUCAGCAGGUCAGCAAGUGGUCCAGGUGCUCGGAUGCUAAGCGUCGCUGGACCUCAGACAUUGAGAACAGCCUGCGGACUCCGGAGGAUUUGCCCCAGUGCUUCCUUCCCAAGUGCUGUUAGAGCGCUGAGGACAAAGAGCAGAAGACCCUGGAGGCUGCCCCUCUCCCCAGCACAUGUGCAGGGCUGAGCAAAGCCAGUCAGAAGCCCAAGGCUUCCAAGAAAGUGACUUGUACUCACACACACAACACUCAGGUUUCCUGUCAGGACAUCCUGGCUUGAGACACUGAAAAAUUAACUCAAAGAUGUCAGAAGGUAGCCUUGAGACACUGAAUCUUUCAAGUCUACAAAAUACAGUUCAACAGCAGGUAUUGACCCUCAGUCACACCCCAGUCCCCUUCUAGCUUGGUAUGGUGUCCCAUGUCUCUAAUUCUAGGACUGGGGAGGAUGAAGCAGGAGGACUCUGGGUUCUGGACCAGCCUGGGCUACACACUGAGACCCUGUCUACAAACCAACCAACCAACCAACCAACCAACCAAAAAACCAACCAACCAACCCAAAAUCAAGCAAAUGAAAACUAAGCUAAACAAACAACAAAACAAAGCCAUCCCGUAAGGAUUGUUUUUCUUUCAUGACAACAUAAACUAGACCCAGGAGCAUGGUUGAAGGA